rnacentral:lncRNA from 1 species
UGGAGACGUUGCUGAAAACCCGGUUAUUGACUAUUGUUUCAAAAAUGUUCAGGGACUCCGUAAGGCGAUUCGUUUGCCGAUCCUCCAUAAGCACUUGGUCAAAUUCACUUGAGGAAACAAGGAAGAGUAUUGAUGUGACACUGUCGAAGCAUUCAAACCAACGUUUCCGUUCUGACCUUUGGCCACCUACAUCAACCAUUUUGAAAGGAACAUUCUUUAUUUCAAAGUUGUACUCAUGAAUCCCUUUUGUGGGUCUUCGUGCCAGCAGAAUAUCUUGCUGUGAGGGAAGAUAAUCCUGUUCUCCAAGUUUAUCCAAGUUGUCCAAGAAAUAUUUUACGGAUUCCCC